rnacentral:rRNA from 1 species
CACGUAGGGGGCAAGCGUUGUCCGGAAUUAUUGGGCGUAAAGAGCGCGCAGGUGGUUGAUUAAGUCUGAUGUGAAAGCCCACGGCUUAACCGUGGAGGGUCAUUGGAAACUGGUCGACUUGAGUGCAGAAGAGGGAAGUGGAAUUCCAUGUGUAGCGGUGAAAUGCGUAGAGAUAUGGAGGAACACCAGUGGCGAAGGCGGCUUCCUGGUCUGUAACUGACACUGAGGCGCGAAAGUCGGGGGAGCAAACAGGAUUAGAUACCCGGGUAGUCCCUGA